rnacentral:rRNA from 1 species
UACGAGGGGGGCAAGCGUUUGUUCGGAAUUAUUGGGCGUAAAGGGUGCGUAGGCGGAUUUGACAAGUCUAAUGUGAAAUCUAUGGGCUCAACCCAUAGUCUGCAUUGGAAACUGUCGGGCUUGAGUAUGGGAGAGGUGAGGUGGAAAUUUCCGGUGUAGCGGUGAAAUGCGUAGAGAUGUGGAGGAACACCAGGUGGCGAAGGCGACUCUUUGGCCCUGUAACUGACGCUGAGGCGCGAAAACGUGGGGACGCAAACAGG